GGGGUUGUGGCUCAGUGGUAGAGCAUUCGCCUAGUAAGUGUGAGGCACUGGGUUCCAUCCUCAGCACCA
rnacentral:tRNA from 1 species